GACGAACGCUGGCGGCGUGCCUAAUACAUGCAAGUCGAACGCAUUUUCUUUCACCGUAGCUUGCUACACCGAAAGAAAAUGAGUGGCGAACGGGUGAGUAACACGUGGGUAACCUGCCCAUCAGCGGGGGAUAACACUUGGAAACAGGUGCUAAUACCGCAUAAUUCCAUUUACCGCAUGGUAGAUGGAUGAAAGGCGCUUUUGCGUCACUGAUGGAUGGACCCGCGGUGCAUUAGCUAGUUGGUGGGGUAACGGCCUACCAAGGCUGCGAUGCAUAGCCGACCUGAGAGGGUGAUCGGCCACACUUGGACUGAGACACGGCCCAGACUCCUACGGGAGGCAGCAGUAGGGAAUCUUCGGCAAUGGACACAAGUCUGACCGAGCAACGCCGCGUGAGUGAAGAAGGUUUUCGGAUCGUAAAACUCUGUUGUUAGAGAAGAACAAGGAUGAGAGUGGAAAGUUCAUCCCUUGACGGUAUCUAACCAGAAAGCCACGGCUAACUACGUG
rnacentral:rRNA from 1 species